GAAACUUAGAGCAGACCAUAGUUUGGCUCUCAAAAUCUACACUAGACUGAUGUUUCCUGAGUAAGUACCAAAAGUUGAUCCAAGACAGAGAAGAAGAUACAUGGAGCUUAUUUGGGAGGUGCACUGAUAAAAGAUUGCAGACAUGAAAAAAGGGAAGAGAAGAAACUCUUUUCAAGAUUUAUGUUUACUAGAAGCCAUGGAUGUGAAAGUAUGUAAAAUUAUAAGACUCUGGGAAGACAGACUGAGAAUAGAGGAGAAAUAAUCUGCCAUGUUGUUAGCUCCCCUGUGAGGAGACCCAUGUGAUGAGGAACUGAGGCCUGACAACAGUCAGAAGAGUGGGCUUGGAAGUGGAUCCUUAAGCUCCAAACCUUGAGAUGAUCCCAUUUCUGGCCAACAUCUUGACAGAAAGCUGAUGCAAGACCCUGAGCCAGAACCACCCAGUUUAGCUGUACCCUGAUCCUUGACCUUGAGGAAUUGUGAGAUAAAUGUUUUCUCUCUCAAGCUUCUAAACUUUGGGGUAAUUUAUUAUGCAACAAUGAAUAACUUUUAUAUAUAUAUAUAUAUGUCAUAUAUUGUAUAUGUAUAUAAACUGUAUGAUGGAUAACAUAUAUAUGUGCCGCUAUAUAUAUAUGUUACCCAUUGUUGUAUAAUAAGUAUACACAUAUACACCCACACACACAAUUAUUAUCUAAAACCAAAUGUGGAAUUCUGGGGUAAAAUGAAAGAAAGCUUAAAGUUUCCCCAAUCUGUACUACCUCCAAAAUCUACAAAUUUACCCCAAAUGAGUAAAUACUAAAAGCUAUGCCAAACAAAGCAGCUACUGAGUGAAGGAGGAGGUUCAUCAUGAGUCCAUAGUGUACUGCAAGAAGAGGAGACUAAAGAAUUCAGAAAUCAACCAUGACCUUUACUUUGAGAUUUCUCUCUUCCUCAAAUCAGCAAGUAGGAAUACAGGGAUAAAGUGAAUGGACACAAUUCUGAGAAAAACUCUAACUCUCACCAUUCAGUUAUGAGCCAUCAGUGCCUCUCCAAACUCAGAGGGAUGAGAAACACUGAACACCAUUGAAAAGAAUUUGUAAAGACCUAUGGCUUACGCUCAUAUAUUUGAGUAUAUAUUGUCUAUCAUGGUUUUUGUUUUCUAUUCAUCUUGCUAAUCUAUAUUUUUUCAUACAUUCCUUGCCUUUUAAAUUAUUAUUUUCAUUUUCCUCCCUCUAUUUUGAAAAUUAAGAUAUAUUUUAUUCAUAAAGUGACUGACUACAUUAAUAAUUUAUACAAGCAUUGUUUAAAGUGUAUAUUAGGAAUAUCUCUAUCCUCUUCCAGAGUUUAGACCAAUGAUUCUCAAAUUUAAUAUCCACACAAAACGCUGAAAGAAUCUGUUAGACUUCUGACUCUGAUUUAGUAGGUCUGGAGUAGACCUGAGAGACUGAAUUCUAGUUACCUCCCAGGUGAAUCUGACUCUCCUGCUCCGUGGAAUAGAGUUUAAGAAACAAGGCCUUAGAGCCCCAUAAUUCCUUUCAUCCCUCAUUCUAACUAAAAUUUCCAAUUUACUAUUGUUUAUUUGAUUUCUGACUUUCAUCUUUUUAACCAGUCUAGCCAUUACUCUUAUAACUUUAUAAGUCAAGGUUGAUUUGUAGCUUUUCUCUAUCUCCAUUCUUCACUCUUUGUGCCUCAUACAGUUCUUUGGGAGUCAUUUUUCUUUCUGCUUUAUAUUAUGAUCUGCUAGUAAUAAACUUCAAUUUAAGUAUAUCAG